rnacentral:rRNA from 1 species
GUCUAUGGCCAUACCCGAUUGUGUCACAUCUCAGAAGCUAAGCAAGAACAAGUCUGGUCAGUAUUUGGAUGGGAGAUUGUUGGUAAUACCAGGUGCCACAGUAG